CGCAACAGCGGCGUUGUCAGGCUCCCACAACAGCCGCUGCCUGCUACUUACAGGCACGGCGCUACCUUCUCAGCUGGAAAAAGUACGUUUCUACAUAUCACAAGCAUGACCUCCAGGCCUCAGGAGUUGUCUGACAGUGACUCAGUCAUAAAACAUUCUCUAGAAGAGCUUCAGUAUCAUUACAUUCCUAUCUCUGUGUACCAGUUUCUGUCAAGACAAGCUAGCCCAUCUCUUCCUAUCCAACAUACAAGUGGCACUAGACUUCCCCUGAGGAGCUCUGCUGUCAGGCAGGCAGGUGUGUGCUCUCAGCUGAAGUCCAUGGAGAAUCUCCUGGAACAAAACCUCAUCACUUAGUUUGUUACUUUUUCCACAGCCAUUUCUCAGCAGUGCUUGAAUCCUAACAACGUUCCUGGGGAGUUUACAGUCCCUUUGGUAACAGGUCCACCAACGUCAAAAAAGACUCUAAUGGCCUACAAUUUCUUGCUUCCAAAAGUUACCAAACAAAUU